UGGAAUCAAUGGCUUCUGCUUUGGUCUUUAAAUGAAAGUCUCUUAUAAAGAAGCAAUGUUUUUCAAAAUCAUUGUUUGUGUAUUGUGUUCACAACUCUGUUUUAGAUUUCUCAGUCUCAUUUGUUAUAUGAUUCAAAUUAUUAACUCAAAUUCAUUGCGGUGCAGGUAACUUUGUUGAAGAAACGGGUUAAUAUUGGGAGCGGUACACCAAGUAGAAUCAAAAAGCUAAUCGAUAUAGAGGCAUUAGGACUUUCACGGUUAAAUAUGAUUGUGCUCGAUAUGCACACAGACGUCAAGGGAUUUUCCUUAUUCACAUUGCCGCAAGUCAGAGAUGAAUUUUGGGAUUUGUAUAAAAACUGCUUCCAUCAGAGAGUCUUAGAAGGAAGACUACGUAUCUGCAUGUAUGGUCCAAAGCCUGCUCCAAACCUAAAGAAGAAGAAAAAAUAAAUGACUGUUCAUUAAUUGUAUCAAAUUCUUAAAAAUUAUCAAAUUAAAUCUA